ACGUCAAAUCAUCAUGCCCUUUAUGUCCUGGGCUACACACGUACUACAAUGGCCGUAACAGAGUGAAGCGAAGCAGUGAUGCAGAGCGAAACACAAAAAGCGGUCUCAGUUCGGAUUGUAGGCUGAAAUUCGCCUACAUGAAGCAGGAAUUGCUAGUAAUUGCAGGUCAGCAUACUGCAGUGAAUACGUUCCCGGGCCUU
rnacentral:rRNA from 1 species